UCAAUAAGCGGAGGAAAAGAAACCAACAGGGAUUGCCCCAGUAACGGCGAGUGAAGCGGCAACAGCUCAAAUUUGAAAUCUGGCUCUCGGGCCCGAGUUGUAAUUUGUAGAGGAUGCUUUUGGUGAGGUGCCUUCCGAGUUCCCUGGAACGGGACGCCAUAGAGGGUGAGAGCCCCGUCUGGUUGGACACCGAUCCUCUGUAAAGCUCCUUCGACGAGUCGAGUAGUUUGGGAAUGCUGCUCUAAAUGGGAGGUAUAUGUCUUCUAAAGCUAAAUACCGGCCAGAGACCGAUAGCGCACAAGUAGAGUGAUCGAAAGAUGAAAAGAACUUUGAAAAGAGAGUUAAAAAGUACGUGAAAUUGUUGAAAGGGAAGCGCUUGUGACCAGACUUGGGCUUGGUUGAUCAUCCGGGGUUCUCCCCGGUGCACUCUUCCGGCUCAGGCCAGCAUCAGUUCGCCCUGGGGGAUAAAGGCUUCGGGAAUGUGGCUCUCUCCGGGGAGUGUUAUAGCCCGCUGCGUAAUACCCUGUGGCGGACUGAGGUUCGCGCAUUCGCAAGGAUGCUGGCGUAAUGGUCAUCAGUGACCCGUCUUGAAACACGGACCAAGGAGUCGUCUUCGUAUGCGAGUGUUCGGGUGUCAAACCCCUACGCGAAAUGAAAGUGAACGCAGGUGAGAGCUUCGGCGCAUCAUCGACCGAUCCUGAUGUUAUCGGAUGGAUUUGAGUAAGAGCAUACGGGGCCGGACCCGAAAGAAGGUGAACUAUGCCUGUGUAGGGUGAAGCCAGAGGAAACUCUGGUGGAGGCUCGCAGCGGUUCUGACGUGCAAAUCGAUCGUCAAACAUGGGCAUGGGGGC
rnacentral:rRNA from 1 species